UGCAACUCACAAUGUGUAGCACAGAUAACAUUUUCAUGGGCAAAAACUUAACAAAGACUGAAAACUCUACAUCUAUUAUUAAUUUUUUUUUGGCCGGCUGCUUGGAUGGUGCUUUGCCUUUACCACUGUUGUGAGGGCAUGUUCUGCUGGAGCGCCUUGGUGGUGAUGACACAGGCGAUACAAGUGAAGUUGUCGUACCAGAACUGGUGCUUUGUUGCUGUUGGUGCUGGGAGCUGAGUGUUUCAUUGAGCAUCUUCCAGACAAUCUUCUACUGUAUGGCUGAAGUGGACAUAUAUAUCUUUAAUGGAGGAGGAAAUGGACAUUUCACUUUGUGGGCAUUUUAUGCUUGCUGUUCUUCUAUUCUUACUCACCAUCCAGAUGAGGGGAGUGUGGUUGGCGUCUUGGUGGAGUGUCCAAAAAUUUGGAGUGGUGGAACAGAAGAAACUACUG